GAUGAACGCUGGCGGCGUGCCUAAUACAUGCAAGUCGAGCGAUGCGGGGACGGGUGAGUAACACGUGGAUAACCUCCUAUAAGACUGGGAUAACUUCGGGAAACCGGUGCUACACCGGCUCCUUAUAUAUGGAUCCGCUCUGCAUUAGAUAGUUGGUAAGUUAACGGCUUACCAAGGCAACGAUGCAUAGCCGACCUGAGAGGGGGAUCGGCCACACUGGAACGGAGACACGGUCCAGACUCCUACGGGAGGCAGCAGUAGGGAAUCUUCCGCAAUGGGCGAAAGCCUGACGGAGCAACGCCGCGUGAGUGAUGAAGGUCUUCGGAUCGUAAAACUCUGUUAUUAGGGAAGCGGUACCUAAGCAGAAAGCCACGGCUAACUACGUGCCAGCAGCCGCGGUAAUAC
rnacentral:rRNA from 1 species